CCCAUUUUGUCAGCUCCAGUUGUGAAGAACACACAUGCUACACUUGGCUACACUGCAAAGCCCUGACAGAAUGGUGCAGGCAUCAAAACUGCAUUCUCAGACAUCCUUGGUGGGACAGGGUGGGGAUUUUGGAACUGGACAGGAUGUUCUUUGGAUGGUCAGUGCAGACUUGAUGGGCCAAAUGAUUUCUAUCUGCAUGUGUACAGUUUCAGAGAUCCAGAGAUUCAGAGUUCCAAGGUGUAAAUCUCACCAAUGAUCUAUCCUGGUCCAGCACAUCAACACUACAGUCAAGAAAACACACCAAUACCUCUACUUCCUCAGAAGGCUAAGGAAAUUUGGCAUG